CGUCACACUCGUGAUCUGAAAACAGCUCUUUUUCUUGGCCGGCAUCUUGGACAUGGUUCCUUCGCGAGAGAGCCGCGCGGGUGAGAAGUCAGGGGGUUCCGCCCACCUACCCUCGCCGGAUUCGACGAAAAACUAGGUAUAAUCAAUUCCUCUAAUGAAUCAGAAAUCAUUCUGGAGAAGAAAUCCAAACUUCAUCCACUCAAAAUCAGUGAAAGUUUCUGUAAAGUUGAAAUGUAAUGGAUAUUUACUCAAAUCUGUGGAAGAGUGAUUGCUCCCUGGUACAUACGCUUUGCAUGCAAGAGGCCACAAGUGUUUCCAGAGAAGAGAUGAACAAAGAAACUUAUGUGAGAUGUUGCUUAUCAACCACCACUGCUUUUUGCAAUACCUUAUCUGAGAAAAGUUCUGGAAAACAGCAGAACUUGAAAAUUUGCAGACUUGUUUGUUAUCAUUUGCAAGAUACAUUUCCCACUGUGAAAAGUAGUCUAGUAGCAAAACAAUCAGCUAAUAAAGACUCCCUACCUUUACAAAAGAAACAAAUUUCUUCCCCUUUAUGUAAAAAAGCAUGAGCAAUGGGCUAGAAUGUCACCUUCUUAAACUACAUUCAUCUAGGUUUCUUAUUUGGGAGUAGAGUUUCAGCUAGAAUUCUUGUGUGAGAAGCUUAACCUUUCUUCUAAUAAAUAUUACUAGUCAGAAUUCUGACAGACUCUGAACUCUUUCUGGUCCAGACAGGGAGGAGAGAAGUCUGGCAUGAGUUUUGUUUACUUUAUUAUAUAUAAUAUGGAAUUUGGAUUGUAUCCUCCUCUCUCCUAAUGUUCUAACACAGCAUUUGCAUUUUUAUUUGCACUGUAGUAAAUAAUGUUCUAUUUGGAAUUCAGCAGCUUUUUACCAUUCUAAUUGGGAUUUAUAGUAAAGUAUACUGGAUACAACCUGAUACCAUUUUUUUAGCCAAACCUAGAAAAAGCAAUAUAAAUAGAAUAGAAUGGCUGUAAAAGCAAUAUAAAUAGAAUGGCAUGGCAUGGCAUGGCAUGGCAUGGCAUGGCAUGGCAUGGCAUGGCAUGGCAUAACCAAGCAUAGCAUAGCAUAGCAUAGCAUAAUAUGGAAGGAUUAUUUUUCUACCUAGAGUUGCCUGUUAGUACUAGAGCCUUAGUAAUAUAAAAUGGAUUGUAUUUACAUGUAACUAACAUGGCAUAUACAACAAACUAAGAUCCAUACAAUAGUUAGAAAUAUGAUACUGAAGAAUUAGAUAUAAUCCAUAGAGGAAUUAACUGUAAAGCAGUAGUUUAUGAUAGAAACUAUAACUAUCUAUGAAUCUGGGGCUGAUGCAGGUUGUUUAGACUCAUGAGCAAGAUAGGUCUCAGAACAGUACAAUUUUAAGGUCUGUCUAUAUAACUGCACUUUUUAUUAAUGCCAAUGAAGCACACAAUAUGAGGAAAGUUACAGUGGCAGAACAAGUAGUCAUCCCUUGGAUCUAAUAACUUGCAACAUCUGGUAUUCCAAAUAAUUUUUAGCAUUAGGUUAAAAUCUUGUACAGUAUAGAAUAAAAAAUAUAACCUCCCUAAAAUCCAAUUCUAAUUCUAACCCUAAUCACUGUAAUUUUUUGUUUGAUACAUUAACCAUAGCCAACAUGUUUCAUUUAAGUCAAAGACAAUGUGGCUUCAAAGGGGAAUUGAUAAAAGAGGAUCAGAAACAUCAGUCUAUAGCUACUAUAGAUUAUUCCAAUGUACAGGGUGGGUUUUAAUGUAAAAGCAGAUUCAUGGCUGCAUAACUCCACAAAACAGCUGUAGUAACAGAUGCAUAAGUAAUUGCAUUCUUUUCUUCAUGGUGUCCCAAGAGUAUCUUUCAAUAUCCUCACAAUGAGAGAAGUUGACCUGGAAAAUGUACAGCAUGCCCCAAACUUGCAGAUGGUACUGCCUGAUCCCUCUUUGUUAAAGCUGAGCAAGUAGCAUUAGAGUUUUGGUGAGGAUUCCAGAAAGCCAAGAAUAACAUCUGUAUCCCAUACUUGUGUCAUUCAUGUGCUGUUGCAGCUGGGAUAUGGGGCAUGGUGAGAAAUGGUGGCCCUUUAUAUUAACUAACAAAAAUAUCAAUUGUAUCAAUUGAUAUCAGGCUGUCAAACAUUUUUCUGAAGAAAAACUGAUUUUAAAUUUUGUUAUAUAUAUACGUAGCAAAUAUUAUGUAUGGGUGGCUUCCAGAAUACUUUUCAACUAGCAAUAUUAGAGUAUACGGUACAUUUAAAAGUGAUGUUUAUUUCAGAAGAUGAAUGUAGCUCUGAGAAAAUCUGACAAGGAUUAUAUUUUAUUCAGAGAACCGAACGGACAAUGUUUGUUACAGAGGACUGGGUUAGGAAUAGAAGCUAGUUGUGGAUCUAAUAACAGAAUUCUGAAAAUCUAAAGUAGAUCAGCAAGAAUUUCUGAUUACCAGUUGUUUAAUAGCAAUAGAAAGCCAGUAAUUCUUCUCUUCACAUUAUAUUGCUUCUCUUAAAACUUUUGAAAUUGGGGUAUUCAAAAAUAGAACUUUGUGUGGAAGGAUUUGACUUCUGUUUAUUUUUGGCUGUGAAAAAAAAUAUCCUGGAUUUAGAAUGUUUUAAUUAUGUGUAAUUUUUUCAUUAAACUCUAGUUAGGAAGUUUCUAAUAUAAAUGAUGUAUAUUCAAACUUAAAGACCAUCCUAGAUGUUACCAUGUAGCUUAAUAAAAAUUUCCUUCUUCUAUGCAACUAUUUAAAUACACAAUUCUUUUUCCUGUGCAUUUUUGCCCUUUUAUUUUAAGUAGUGAUAAAUUUCUUGUGUUCAGAAACUAGCAA